GCCUAUCAUUACUACCCUUGAUAAUCUUCAUCCCAAGAUCUUCAACUCUGCCAUUAAGGUUCAUUGUGUCCGCGUUUAUGAAUUGAAUUCUGGAGAAAAGUAUGUCAACAGUUUUGGAAGCUGUAUUCCAUGAUAAAAUGGGCAACCGAAUUCAAGCAUCUUUGCCAGAGUAUUUAGUACAGAAAUUUACUCCUGGAGCAAUUUUCUGCAUUAGACAUUUUGAGGGCCAACAAUCACAAGAAUCACACUGCCAAUCACUUAUUUAGGCUGACUAUGGUGGCUAAAAUUGAAAUAUGUGAAGUGACUGAUGAAAGAUUCCAGUUAUGCAUGUUUUCUGAAACAGCUCAACUGAAUCAAUCUUUGGUAUUUAUUUCACAUAUUUGUACUUUGUUUUGUGUUAUGUAGAACAAUAUUAAAUAUUUUUUGUUUUUAUAUUUUCCAGAUGUGAUAGGAGUGUUUGUUUCACCUGGAAUAGUUGGGAAUAGUUGUUAGCCAGCCUAAAUGCCGACUUAUAGAGAUUGAGAUUGCUGAUGAGAAGUCAGUUCUCUUUUACCAUAAAUUCUGACUACAUAUUUAACAGUAAUGUAUCUCAAAGAUUUCAUUUCUC